GCCCGGCUAGCUCAGUCGGUAGAGCAUGAGACUCUUAAUCUCAGGGUUGUGGGUUCGAGCCCCUAGUUGGGCG
rfam:Danio rerio chromosome 4, GRCz11 reference primary assembly.